UACAGAGGGUGCGAGCGUUAAUCGGAUUUACUGGGCGUAAAGCGUGUGUAGGCGGUUUGUUAAGUCGGAUGUGAAAGCCCUGGGCUCAACCUAGGAAUUGCAUUCGAUACUGGCAAGCUAGAGUACGGCAGAGGGUGGCGGAAUUCCGGGUGUAGCGGUGAAAUGCGUAGAUAUCCGGAGGAACACCGAUGGCGAAGGCAACCACCUGGGCCUGUACUGACGCUGAGACACGAAAGCGUGGGGAGCAAACAGG
rnacentral:rRNA from 1 species